rnacentral:rRNA from 1 species
CACGAAUUAAGGCGAGCUAAUUUAUUGUGAAUAUUAGUUUACGCAAUGUUGCAUAAUUACGUAAAACAGUAAAUUAGGAGUGAUAGGCUUACCAAGUCUUAGUAUAACUUGAUGUUUAUGAAAUGUAUUAAGUACAAACACAUUUAAGGAGUGCUAAGAUUUCUUAUAUAUAUAAAGUGUAAUAAAUCAAACUAAUUAGGUUAUAACUAACAGAUAUUUUUUUUUAAAAACAUUAAUCUUUAUAUUUUGUAUAAUAUAAUAAACUAUUGGAAAUUGAUCAUAAAAUACAUAUUGUUACUAUAAGUAAAUCAAAAAAAUGUUAGGAAUGAACUCGGCAACAUUCUCUUCAACUGUUUAUCAAAAACAUAGCUAAUAGAUUAAAUUAUUAGUGUUUUCUGCUCCAUGAAUAUUAAAUAGCCGCAGUACCCUGACUGUGCUAAGGUAGCAUAAUCAAUUGGCUUGUAAUUUAAGUCUUGUAUGAACGAAAAAAUGAAAGAGGAACUAUAUAUAAAAUAUAUAUUGAAAUUUCUAAGUGAGUGAAAAUACGCACUGAAAAAUAUUAGACGAGAAGACCCUAGAAAUUUUAAGACUCUGAGAUUCGAACUUUUUGUUGGGGCAACAUUGUAACAUAUAACUUACAGUUAAGUACAAGCAAUAUUUUUGUUAGAUCAAAUUACUCUAGGGAUAACAGCGUAAUGUAAAAACGUUUGCGACCUCGAUGUUGGAUUAGGAAAUAUAAGCUUAGAA